UGUUGAUGAUGAAAUCAUCAUUGCUCUGAGUACAAGCCCAUCUCUGUCAGCUCCUGGCUCCACUUGGGCCCCGGUAAGAAACAGCACAUGUCAUGCUUCUAGGAGCUUCUGGUCCAGUGUGGGAGGCAGAUGGAUAAAGAAAUACCAAACUCUGGCAUGGUAAGUGCCACUAGUAAUUCAUGCAAGACUUUCUAAGAGGAAAAAUGCAAAAAUCCCCACUGAUUUCCUCUCUGUAACCCUGCCAUCUCCUGAUGACCAGAGCAUCCAUGUGGAUGACCCUCACGUGCCAGCCCCUCAGUUCCUUGUCCACUCCUGUCUGAUGGCUCUUUCCCCUUCCCUCAGUCACAGCCUAGACCUGAUCCCACCCUGGAGCCCAUCCGAAGUCCAAGUCAGACUUCGCUGGGGGCAGCCCAGCUGCAGAGCCUGACACCUUCCAACACAGAGAGGACCCUGCCCCCGUGGCUUCAUGAGAAGCCAUUUCUGCUUUUUGGCAGUGGUUCCUGUUGGUUUCCCCAUCUGGGAUGACAGCUGAAGCCUGUCUCCAUGGCACCUGUGUCAUGGGCUGACCCCAGGUGCCCCAUGGCCUCUAUCCAGAGCCCAGUCCUCCUUCCUCCACAGCAGCCUCUGCAGGCCUUCAUGCUGCACUCUCCCCAGACCUCAAUUUUUGGCUCCUGCUCACCUCCUUCACUGGAGAUAGAGCCCUCAAGGUGGGGGGUGGUGGUGAUGGUGGAGUAGGGCUGGGGGCUCCUCUGAGGCUCCCUGCCCAAGUGCAGAUGAUCCUGGUGGGCUGUCUCCACAGGCUGGUGUUAACAACAUCACAGACAACCCGAAACAGCCCUCAGUGGUGACCCUGUUGCAAGCCUGAGCCCUUGUCGGGGCUGUGGUCAUGGAGAAUGGGUUUUCUUUGAUGAUGAGAUCAUGGACCCUGGGAACUGUCCAGGGAAGGUGACUGUAGAGGCCAGUUCGUGGCUGAGGGAUGUAUAUCUGUGGAACGUGACCCUGCCCAUUCUCCAGCUAAGAGUGGCCCAGACUUGUCACCACUGCUGCAUCAUGGGCCCUCCGCUCUGAGAGCCUUGGGAGGCUUCCAUCUUUCUUUUUGCUGCCAAAGACAGAAAGUCACUCCAGCUGCUGAGACAAAAAUAUAUCCAAGGAAUAGAACAUUGAUGAACCAUAUGCCAAAAUGGGGAGGUAAGAGGAGUUCAUUCAGUUUCAGCAUCUGAGGCUGUGAGAAGAGAGUCACGGACCCCGAACUGUGGGCCUGCAGACCCGCAUGAGAACUACUGAGCACUCUGGAGUGAGCUCUGGGUCCUUUAUCAAAUGGCCAAACAUUGCUUCCCCAAACUCUGGAAACACCAAGAGUGGCUUCUGCGUAGGGAACAGAAAGUCAACACUCGGAGGGUGUCAGGCUCAGUAGAAGAUAAUGGGUAAUAACCAAAUUACCAUGGUCUAAAAACUCCUGCAAUUGCAUCCAAAUUAGCAGAAAUAAUUAUGAUUCACUUUAAUUAGUGACUAUGGAGGCGAAGCCUUGGGCUGGUCGGCAGAGUGCCUGGCAUGGCAGCUGCGUGACAGCCAGGAGGGAGGGGGCAUCCAGCCAGUGAGGCUGCAGGCCUCCGUGAACAGGCGUUUGCCCCUCCAUGGACAGGGGCCCCCUGCGUCCUCCUCUUCCCUUUAUCACUGCCAGCUUCACCACCAGCACCACAAAGACCCUCCAGGCCUCCAGCUCACUACCCACCCUAUGAGUGGGCACUAGGUUGCCCCCACUUUACAAUGAGGAGAUAAUGGCUCAGAGAUCUGGGGAACUUGCCCAAGAGCACCUGGCUGGGCCUGUCUGAGCCUGGACCCUCCCUCCGCCUUUGUUCCCGAGCUGGGCGCCCACCAGCUCAGCUCCAUGAAAGGGCUCACCUGCCCCCCAGCCCUCCGAGCACGUAAGGACCCCCUGGCUACAGCCCACCUCCCCCAGUGGCUCUGCCACAGGCUGACAUGUGCCCUGGGGCGGGGCCAUGGCC